rnacentral:lncRNA from 1 species
GGAAUGCAACUCAUACAUAACCAAAAUAUAAAGUUCUUAUUUAUUGUGUAAGAACUAAAAGUUCUUUUAAAUGAUAAAAGCAAAAGGCUAAAUGGAUGUUGAUGUGCAAAAGAAUUCAGUACUCAGUAUUUUGGCUACAAUGGUUAAAGGUACAUGAUGCCACUGUCCCCUACCCCAGGGUCUCUAGGGACCGUACCUCCCACACACUCAGGGUUGGUACUCUCAACGUCAGCACACUAAAAGAUACUCUGUUGAUGGAAGGGAACUGAUUCACUGAAUCAGUUCCUCAAUCAAACAUUUCCAGGCUGAUAGAUGGAAAAGAAUGGGCCAAUUCCAUGGCCACCGCGUUCGCCAGAUAUCACUCCAUUGGACUUCUUUUUAUGGGGUUAUGUAAAAGAUAUCAUGUAUCAAACAAAGAUUUGGGACAUUGCUGACUUGAAGCAAAGUAUGCCAUUGCCACCAUUGAUGAGGCUAUCCUACAGCAAACAUGGCAAGAAAUCGAGUACCGUCUUGAUGUGCUUCGCGCAACUAAUUGA